GGGAACGGCAGGGGUCACAGCGUGUGGAGCCAUGGACGGACUUUAGUGAGAUGGGUGAGUCAUUGGACACUCUAGAGAAGAGGGAUGACAAAGUCUGACUUAUUGUUUAAUUAAACUGCUGAAAUGGGAAUAUAAAAAGAAAUAGCAUUCUUGUUUCUAGGGAAACUGUGUUGAAUACUUAAAAAAGACUUCAUAGAGGUGAGUCACUAAAAAUUGCUGUCAAAUUAAGUGUGGGAGAAACAGCUAUAAAAGAUGAGGAAAAACUUGAAAAUCUAAAGAGAUUCUGCUUAUGGGUUUAUCUGUAAUUAUUUAAAAUUCUUUCUAUUUUAAGGAUAUUGAGAUUGGAAAUGGGGCUGGG
rnacentral:lncRNA from 1 species